CGUGCUCGCGCAUCGAACUACUUACCACCUAUCCUUCUCAGUUGCCUCACGGGUGAUGUUACACUCGAUGAUCGGAUCAAGGGUCUGUGUUGCGUACCUAAGUAAAGGGUAUUGGUGAGUUGGAUUUCCCCCGUUGUUCUUGGCAUCUCCUUCGAUGGGGAUGUCGAGGACACAAAAUUCGGCGCUUGUUUUCCUUUCGACUUGGCAUCUGUUGCCUUGUGCGCAUUGGUGAACGAGCUGUCGGUCGAAAUCUUGGAUGCGGAAAAGAUAAAGACGGUGACUCGAAGUAAUUCAGUCCCGCUAAAGCACUUCUGUCCCUCGGGCUAAAGAUGACGGUCAAGACCUCGUCCUUUCUCUCUUUCCUUAGCGUUUGCGGGAUUGUGGCGAGGAAUUGCCGUGAUCGAUGAAUGCUACC
rnacentral:misc_RNA from 2 species